AACUUAAGAGGCUUAAACGGUAAUCAUUUUCUCUCAUGGUUUCUGUGGGUCAGGAAUUUUGGAAAGGCUCUACUUGGCAAUUCUGACUUAGGGCAUCAGAUGCACUUGCAGUUAGACAGUGGCUGGAGCUGGAAUAGGUUGGAAUAGGGCUGGCCAUGCAUCUCUCUUUGCUUGUAGUUUCCAGGUCUCUCCACGUGGGCUGAUUUGGGCUUCCUCAUAGCAUGGUGGCUUCAGGAUUGUAGAGCUUUUUACAUGGUGGCUCAAGGACUACCAGCUUCUGUGUUCCAACAAACCAGCCGUAAGCUGUAUUGCCUUUUACAACCUAACCUUGGAUGCAUAUAGCAUUACUUUUGUCAUAUUAUCCAGUCACCUCUUGAUUUCGAGAAAGUCAGACUUCACUGACGUCUGAUUAACUGCCACAUCCACCCUCAAGAAGCCCAUCCUGUGUGGGAGGCAAGACAAGUCCAGAUAACACCAACCAAGACAAUAUCAAAAGACAUAAUUACCAUAGGAGAGAUGGUGGACUUUCCUUCUCGGCAAUGGCAAGACCUAACCCAGCUCCACCUCCUGAGUGUGGCAUUACAGGUGUUUACAUCAAUCUCCAACUUGGACUAGUAACAGUUCUUGCAAGGGAAAAAGGUGAACCUGCAGAAACACCUAAUUCAUGGACCAGUUUAAUUCGAUUCUACUGGAAUACGAGGCCAAAUGUUUGACUUCCCUCAGGAAGGCAACAUGAGUUAAGAAAACAGCACUUCAUGGAAUAUUCCCAAAGAGCCCAAUUUGAUAAUUGAAAAAGAAAAUGAAAUUUUUCCAGACACCAAAGUGUAUGCUUCUGCAUGGAGAAGACAACUUUGCUAAACUUUGGGGAAAGAGAAAAGAUAAAGCUGGGUUCUGCAUCAUGAAAAAGACUCUAAUAGUACUAAUACCUGCUAAGUCUUGCCUCAAAGUCUACUCAGAAGAGAUGCUCAAAGAAGAACAAGCAAGGACCAAGGCUGUCUGCACCAUGAAGACCUAUCUUCAUCUUUCUAAAGCUGCACUAUCCAGUACAGUGGCUACUAGCCUCAUGUGGCUAUUUAAAUUUAUUAAAAUUAAAUAAAAUUUAAAACUCAGUUCCUCAGUCAUAAUAGCCACAUGCAGUUAGUGGCUACCAUACAGAACAGCACAGAUAUAGAACAUUUCCGUCAUCAAAGAAACUACUAUCGGAUACUGCUGUAAAGGUUAAACGUAAGUGUGCCCUCUGUUCUGAAAGCCACAGAAACUGGGCUGGAGAGACACUAAUUGGCUGUAUUAUCUGGGUCAAUUCCUCUCCUAUUUCUAGGUGUCCUUUCCUAUUUCUACACCAUCUGAGUCAUGUUUUCACUAGUUCAGCGAUUCCCAAGAAGGAAUAAUAAUGCUGACACUGUGGUAACAUAGAAGCAUGUUGCUACUUCUAGAUGUACAAUAAAAUAUUUAGGUACGAUGUAUGUGGUGGUGUCUAUAUCUUAAA